GACGAACGCUGGCGGCGUGCUUAACACAUGCAAGUCGAACGGAAAGGCCCUGCUUUUGUGGGGUGCUCGAGUGGCGAACGGGUGAGUAACACGUGAGUAACCUGCCCUUGACUUUGGGAUAACUUCAGGAAACUGGGGCUAAUACCGGAUAGGAGCUCCUGCUGCAUGGUGGGGGUUGGAAAGUUUCGGCGGUUGGGGAUGGACUCGCGGCUUAUCAGCUUGUUGGUGGGGUAGUGGCUUACCAAGGCUUUGACGGGUAGCCGGCCUGAGAGGGUGACCGGCCACAUUGGGACUGAGAUACGGCCCAGACCCCUACGGGAGGCAGCAGGGGGGAAUAUUGCACAAGGGGCGGAAGCCGGAUGCAGCAACCCCGCGUGCGGGAUGACGGCCUUGGGGUUGUAAACCUCUUUCGCCUGGGACGAAGCGUGAGUGACGGUAAUUGGAAAAGAAACACCGGCUAACUACGG
rnacentral:rRNA from 1 species